rnacentral:rRNA from 1 species
UACGUAGGGGGCAAGCGUUGUCCGGAAUCAUUGGGCGGAAAGCGCGUGUAGGCGGUCCGAUUAGUCGGCUGUGAAAGUCAAGGGCUCAACCCUUGAAUGCCGGCCGAUACUGUCAGGCUAGAGUCCGGAAGAGGCGAGUGGAAUUCCUGGUGUAGCGGUGAAAUGCGCAGAUAUCAGGAGGAACACCUAUGGCGAAGGCAGCUCGCUGGGACGGUACUGACGCUGAGACGCGAAAGCGUGGGGAGCGAACAGG